rnacentral:rRNA from 1 species
UACAGAGGUCCCAAGCGUUGUUCGGAUUCAUUGGGCGUAAAGGGUGUGUAGGUGGCGCCGUAAGUCGGGUGUGAAAUUUCGGAGCUUAACUCCGAAACUGCAUUCGAUACUGCGGUGCUUGAGGACUGGAGAGGAGACUGGAAUUCAUGGUGUAGCAGUGAAAUGCGUAGAGAUCAUGAGGAAGACCAGUGGCGAAGGCGGGCAUCUG